AUACGGAGGAUCCGAGCGUUAUCCAGAUUUAUUGGGUUUAAAGGGUGCGCAGGCGGCCAUUUAAGUCAGCGGUUAAAUCGUGGGGCUCAACCCCAUUCUGCCGUUGAUACUGGGUGGCUUGAUUGCGGUCGAGGUUGGCGGAAUUCGUUGUGUAGCGGUGAAAUGCAUCGAUAUGACGAAGAACACCGAUUGCGUAGGCAGCUGACCAGACCGCAAAUGACGCUCAUGCACGAAAGUGCGGGGAUCGAACAGGAUUAGAUACCCUGGUAGUCCGCACAGUAAACGAUGAAUACUUGUUUUCGGCGAUAUAAUGUCGGAGGCAAAGCGAAAGCGAUAAGUAUUCCACCUGGGGAGUACGCCGGCAACGGUGAAACUCAAAUGAAUUGACGGGG
rnacentral:rRNA from 1 species